UUGGUGACGUCUGCGAUGAAUUGAAUUUCCGUCUUGUGACUUUUCUGUUGCAGAACAUGGAGGAGCAGCUGAGCAAUGGAGUUGGGACUCGGGGAGCAAUAGGUGCCUGUGUCCCAAGCUUCCUGUGUGGCCCUUGCAAGCUCCUGCUCCCCUCGCCUGCAAGUGGAGCGAUGCUCAAGUUUGAGGAAUCUUUUCCUCGGCAGGCGGUAAAAGACGCCGCAGCUGCGAGUUUUGUGUCCUUCUUUGUUAUUGGAAAGCAGCCUCCUUGAGAGCAGGAGAGCAGCAGGCUGUCU